CGGACUUCUCCGUCGCCGCCACAGGGAGCCACUGGAGAAGGGCUAAAGAGCAGCAUGUGGCUCCGGAGCCAUAGGUUGCCUACCCCUGGUCUAGACUGAUAAAGAACACUACAGGGGGUCAGCUAUUGACUGGGAUCUUGUGCCACGGCUACAAGACAGAAAGGAAGACCCUCACUGGACCCAC